rnacentral:rRNA from 1 species
GACGAACGCUGGCGGCGUGCUUAACACAUGCAAGUCGAACGAUGAAGCUGGAGCUUGCUCCGGUGGAUUAGUGGCGAACGGGUGAGUAACACGUGAGAAAUCUGCCCUUGACUCUGGGAUAACUGCGGGAAACUGUAGCUAAUACCGGAUACUUUCCUCGGUGGGCAUCCACUGGGGAAGAAAGAAUUUCGGUCAAGGAUGAUCUCGCGGCCUAUCAGCUAGUUGGUGAGGUAAUGGCUCACCAAGGCGACGACGGGUAGCCGGCCUGAGAGGGUGACCGGCCACACUGGGGCUGCGACACGGCCCAGACUCCUACGGGAGGCAGCAGUGGGGAAUAUUGCACAAUGGGCGCAAGCCUGAUGCAGCAACGCCGCGUGAGGGAUGAAGGCCUUCGGGUUGUAAACCUCUUUUAGCAGGGAAGAAGCGAAAGUGGCGGUACCUGCAGAAAAAGCACCGGCUAACUACGUGCCAGCCGCCGCAGUAA